CGCCCCGGCUAGUGGGGGGUUUUCUCGGCCCGCGUCCCGGGACCCCCUGCUCGGGACUGUCCGCAUAAUGCUAAUGACAGUAACCCGCAGCCCCUGGGCACCUGGACCAGGUGGUUUGCGUUUCUAAUCCGGAACGCAGUGCCAGACCUUCAGGAGGCUCAGGAUCCCCUGCGGAGGAAACUGUGUUCUCAGGGAGCAGGAAGAUGGAAUACUUCAUCCCAAGUGUGACUUGUUAGCUGUGGAAUUUCAAGGACAAAGCAGUGGGCUCUGGUUUGUUUUUGGAAGUAGUUUUACUUUGGCCAUUGAUCUCAUGUUCCCCUGCGGGGGUACAAGAUCCUCAGCGAAGGGCCAGCCCUGGAGAGUUCAGGAGGGCGGCCCACCACCUACCCUGAAUCAGCACGGACAGGCUUCUCCGGGGGAUUUCACCGUAGGAGAAGGAGCCCCAGCCCAGGGAGAGCCCCUCCCUGGGAGGAUGGUGACCACACAAUGCAACACUGUUGAUGUAUUGUAGAAUUGUACACCUGACGCCUGGCCAGUGCAGUUCAGUGGUUGAGCAUUGACCCAUGCACCAAGAGGUCACUGGUUUGAUUUCUGGCC